CACUUCUUGCUCAUUCUUGUCUCUUUCCUUACUUGGGGAAUUGGGGAGUAUCCUACUCCUUGUCUAAACUUAGAUCAUGGCAGGAUGGUGAUGUACAUGGCUGUCAUUUGGAGUCUUGAGGGGUUUAAAAUCGAGAAGAAAGAGAAGAGAGGAGGGAUGAUAUAUCUUACUACUAUUUCUAGCUAUUAGUCAAGUCUUGGAGCUUGAAAUCUUUAGAGUAGUAAGUUGUAGCUUCAAAUUCUUGUACUAUAGAAAUGUAGCUUUGAAAGGAAUCUUACUUGUAGCUCCAUGUAUCCAAUUUGUAUAGCAUGUGUUGUACUUUGUACUAAUUUAUUUCUCUUUUCCUUCUUCUAAUAAUUGUAGUUUACAAACUUAAA